CAGCCGCCGCGGUAAUACAGAGGGUGCAAGCGUUAAUCGGAAUUACUGGGCGUAAAGCGCGCGUAGGUGGUUUGUUAAGUUGGAUGUGAAAGCCCCGGGCUCAACCUGGGAACUGCAUCCAAAACUGGCAAGCUAGAGUACGGUAGAGGGUGGUGGAAUUUCCUGUGUAGCGGUGAAAUGCGUAGAUAUAGGAAGGAACACCAGUGGCGAAGGCGACCACCUGGACUGAUACUGACACUGAGGUGCGAAAGCGUGGGGAGCAAACAGGAUUAGAUACCCGAGUAGUCCCUGUCUCUUAUAU
rnacentral:rRNA from 1 species